GUGUCUUUUGCAGGUCAUUACGUAAAUUGGUGGGCAACACCCCUGAAAAUUGGGAUUUGCAUCUAGAUGCUGUAAUAUUUGGCAUCAAUACAAAAAAACAAAUGACUACAAAAUAUUCACCAUACUUUCUCGUGUAUGGGAGGGAGGCAAGGUACCCGUCAGAGGUUCCAGAAAGUUAUGCGGUGAACGAUGAUCUUGUGGACUCAGCUGUAGCAAAGGAAGAGUAAUUUACGAAAUAUGGCAAAAUAUUACUGGAAAUUUGCUUGUUUCAAAAAAUUGGUCAAUAUUCAAUUUUCGAUUUGGAUGUGUUGGGGCUGAAACCAGGCAACUUGAAAGCCAGAUUAUUAAUGCAUACCUGUUUCUACUGGUUAAAAAAUAUAACAAAAGUUCUAAAAAACAAGCAUGUGUUAUUGACAACUUUGCUCUAAAUAAUUUGUGGGAAGGAAAAUCAAGACCACUGAGAAAGGUGAUGUACCCUUUGGAAAAUGUGUGGUUUACCUAAAUUCUUUAAGAGAACAAGUAGAGCAAAUUCAACAAAGCAAAAAUGUAACUCUAAAGUUUUUGAAGGAAAAAGGAAUGAAAUUAAGUACACAGCUAUAACACACCCAAACCAAAAUGAUUCAGUCUCUUGCGGGGUAUUUGUAUGCAAGCUGACAUCGAGAAUUUGUGCAGAAUAUGUACAAUGGAAACUUCAAGAGAAGAAUUGAAAGGAGGUGGCGUGCGACAGCUGUUCUUUUUGGUUUCAUGUGAUGUGCAUUGAACAGUCACAUAGGCCGGAAAACAUUGAAGAUUCUCCAUUUAUGUGCUAUCAAUGCGUUAAAAAAUAAUAUACUUAACAUGACUCCUUGAAAAAUCUUUUUAUUUUUUGUAAAAAUUUGUCACUUUAUAUAUGUUGUGAAUAAAACAAAUGGUUGUUUUCGGAAAAUUGUUUAUUAUUAAAUUUGUUUAUCAUUAAAAAAUAAAAUAAAAAAAACACUC